rnacentral:rRNA from 1 species
UACAGAGGGUGCAAGCGUUGUUCGGAAUUAUUGGGCGUAAAGCGCGUGUAGGCGGCUUUGCAAGUCGGGUGUGAAUGCCCUCAGCUUAACUGAGGAAGUGCGCCCGAAACUGCAGAGCUUGAGUACCGGAGAGGGUGGCGGAAUUCCCCAAGUAGAGGUGAAAUUCGUAGAUAUGGGGAGGAACACCGGUGGCGAAGGCGGCCACCUGGACGGAUACUGACGCUGAGACGCGAAAGCGUGGGUAGCAAACAGG